GUAGGGAAUAUUGCACAAUGGAGGAAACUCUGAUGCAGCGACGCCGCGUGAGUGAUGAAGGCCUUCGGGUCGUAAAGCUCUGUCGCAGGGGAAUAACACAAUGAAGGUACCCUGUAAGAAAGGAUCGGCUAACUUCGUGCCAGCAGCCGCGGUAAGACGAGGGAUCCUAGCGUUGUUCGGAAUCAUUGGGCGUAAAGCGGAUGUAGGUGGCUAUGUAAGUCAGAUGUGAAAGCCUGGGGCUCAACCCCAGAAGUGCAGUUGAUACUGCGUAGCUUGAGUGUCGGAGAGGUUACUAGAAUUGUUGGUGUAGUGGUGAAAUACGUAGAUAUCAACAGGAAUACCGGAGGCGAAGGCGGGUAACUGGCCGAACACUGACACUGAGAUCCGAAAGCGUGGGGAUCAAACAGGAUUAGAAACCCCGGUAGUCC
rnacentral:rRNA from 1 species